rnacentral:rRNA from 1 species
UACGGGGGAUGCAAGCGUUAUCCGGAAUUAUUGGGCGUAAAGCGUCCGCAGGUGGUUUAUCAAGUCUGCUGUCAAAGCGUGGGGCUUAACUCCAUAAGGGCAGUGGAAACUGAGAGACUAGAGUACGGUAGGGGUAGCGGGAAUUCCCAGUGUAGCGGUGAAAUGCGUAGAUAUUGGGAAGAACACCAGCGGCGAAGGCGCGCUACUGGGCCGAAACUGACACUCAUGGACGAAAGCUAGGGGAGCGAAAGGG